ACCUUAUGUAUUUUCAUUGUGUCUUUGUCACAUACGAAGAGUACGUGAGCCUUGAUAUUUUUGAUAAUAUUAUACCACGAAGGCUAUCAAUAUCAUUCUAAAUACCUCAUAUGGAAAUUGAUUCCUUUCUAACCUUGUCUAAGAAUCGACUCGGAGGAAUAGAUUUAGGUUGAUGUUUGUUGUUGACUUAGUAUUUUUUUGAUGUCGCGUCGAUAAGUGAUAUUUAUAUCAUCCCAUUUUAUUUGUAUACGUAGAAUAAAGUUUUGAAUUUUUGAAGGCUUGAAAAGUCAAUCUAUCUAUGAUCAGUAGCAAUCAAUUGGAAGAAGGGUCUAGGUAUACCUACCUAUAGGAUGAAAUUCUAUGACUCAUGUGCAUAGUGCGCCAAUAAGUUUUUAAUUACUAGGAAGCUUUGACCCUGACUUCGUUGUGUUUGAAUUCGGAAAUAAAUAUUUUUAAAAUUAAAACUUAUUUCUUAAAAAGCACGUUUACAAGCUGAUAAAAUUACUUCCUCUCGUUUUUAUGACGCAAUUAGCUAAGUACUUCAUUACUUAGUUCUCAUUUGAGAUAGCAUGCGAAAAAGUGAAAUGGGAAAAGGUAAAAGAGAAGAAAAAUUAGCUAGCUUUUUUAGAUCUCGAUCAAAGAUCUGAAUGCCUCAUAAAGUUGACCUCAAACUAUCUGGUCUCUCCGUCACCUUUCCAAUCUUCUACCUAAAGAUCCUAAUAACAUGAAGUUGAAUCUAACUCUGUUUUGCAGAUCAAACAUCUCAAACAGAAGGCAAAGUCCAUAGCUCCUGUACAUGAUGACGAUGAAAAACCAGAUAUAAAAUCAAUCAAAGACAAGAUAAAAGACAUUGAAGAAUCCGGAAAAUUGCAACAGACUGGGUCUGCUACCACAGUUGCAUCUGGAAAAUCUAUCCAAAGGCCUCCCACCCAAACUGACCCAGCCGACACACAUCCACGCCCAGAAGAGUCACACCCAGGCCCCACAGAGUCCCAAGGGCAACACGGGUCGCCAGAAACAGGGCAAGAAGCCCAUGGGCCCACUCCAACCCAUCAUAUCCCACGCCGCUCGCCAUACGUUACGCGGCGGGAUUCCACAGACUCCAUAAAUACCGUUAGAACAGUUCUUAUCUCCUAUAGUUUGUGGUCUGUAGACGUAGUCAAAGUAAACAUUUAUUCAGAAAGUAAAUCAGAAAACUUACUAUCUCCUGUAGACUGUAGACAGAGUAGAUAGUUCAAGUAUUUAUUCAAAAAUUAUACCAGUUAGAUAUUUUCCUAACUUCUUCCUAUCGUCUGUAGACGUAGUCAAAGUCAAAGCAUUUAUUCGGAAAUCGACCUUCAUAUGAACUUUUCCGUGACUUUUCCACAUCAUACUUUUCGUAGUGUAGUGUUAGAUACCUAAAAAUAAAGAUGAGAAAUUGAGCAAGACAUGUUUAUUUAGGUAAGCGUAUCUAUAGGUAUAUUGCACAUUUUUUUAAAUAGCUCACACCUUGUCCUGACCCUUCAUUAAUCUAGACAGGACAAGUCUUCGUCAUUAGGAUUAAUAUCAUUGAUUAGAUUUCUAGGUUAGAAACUGACAUUUCAGAUUUCCGUUCUGCAUCGUUAAGGAGUGCCACACUUAACGACCACGUAAAUAAAUACAUUUCGUCAUUUCCAUUUACUUUAGGUUUAAUUGGUAGAAAGACGGGCAAAAAACGAAAGCUCAAAAACACUAUUUUGACUUUUUUCAAGGCUUAACACAAUUUGCGAUUACAGAAAAUCUCAAGUCGUGAGAGUUUAAUCCAAAGCAUCAAUCGAUUCGCAAACCUUGGAAAAAUAUUGGAAAAUUGAUAAUAUUAAUGUCAAUUGCGUGAGAAUCAUGCUCGAGCCUUGAAUAGUCUGAAACUCAGAACAAUUUGUAAUUGUAGUAUCUUUAUGUAUUAUUUGUUAGUAAAUAAAGUAUCAUCGUGUAUAAUUAGUAGAUAAGAUUUAUAAAAGGAUAAUCGAAUUACGAAAAUAAUCUUAAU